CCCCUCCAGAUUCCUUAGCCCUCAAACCUAAACAGUGGUCAGAGUGGCUUAAAGAAAAAGGAGGAAAGUGAAGCUGAAAUGGACUUGGAGUCUUGCAACACCCAAGUUCACUUCAAACAAUA
rnacentral:snoRNA from 1 species